UACGUAGGGACCAAGCGUUGUUCGGAUUUACUGGGCGUAAAGGGCGCGUAGGCGGCGUGGUAAGUCACUUGUGAAAUCUCUGAGCUUAACUCAGAACGGUCAAGUGAUACUGCUGUGCUAGAGUGCGGAAGGGGCAAUCGGAAUUCUUGGUGUAGCGGUGAAAUGCGUAGAUAUCAAGAGGAACACCGGUGGCGAAGGCGGGUCUCUGGGCCGUUACUGACGCUGAGGAGCGAAAGCGUGGGGAGCGAACAGG
rnacentral:rRNA from 1 species